UACAGAGGUCUCAAGCGUUUGUUCGGAUUCAUUGGGCGUAAAGGGUGCGUAGGUGGCGUCGUAAGUCGGGUGUGAAAUUUCGGAGCUUAACUCCGAAACUUGCAUUCGAUACUGCGGUGCUUGAGGACUGGAGAGGAGACUGGAAUUUACGGUGUAGCAGUGAAAUGCGUAGAGAUCGUAAGGAAGACCAGUGGCGAAGGCGGGUCUCUGGACAGUUCCUGACAACUGAGGCACGAAGGCCAGGGGAGCAAACAGG
rnacentral:rRNA from 1 species